rnacentral:rRNA from 1 species
AUUGAACGCUGGCGGCAGGCUUAACACAUGCAAGUCGAGCGGGGGAAGGUAGCUUGCUACCGGACCUAGCGGCGGACGGGUGAGUAAUGCUUAGGAAUCUGCCUAUUAGUGGGGGACAACAUCUCGAAAGGGAUGCUAAUACCGCAUACGUCCUACGGGAGAAAGCAGGGGAUCUUCGGACCUUGCGCUAAUAGAAGAGCCUAAGUCGGAAUAGCUAGUUGGUGGGGUAAAGGCCUACCAGGGCGACGAUCUGUAGCGGGUCUGAGAGGAUGAUCCGCCACACUGGGACUGAGACACGGCCCAGACUCCUACGGGAGGCAGCAGUGGGGAAUAUUGGACAAUGGGCGAAAGCCUGAUCCAGCCAUGCCGCGUGUGUGAAGAAGGCCUUUUGGCUGUAAAGCACUUUAAGCGAGGAGGAGGCUACUUGGAUUAAUACUCUAGGAUAGUGGACGUUACUCGCAGAAUAAGCACCGGCUAACUCUGUGCCAGCCGCCGCGGUAA